rnacentral:rRNA from 1 species
GACGAACGCUGGCGGCGUGCCUAAUACAUGCAAGUCGAACGAACCGCGACUAGGUGCUUGCUCUUGGUCAAGGUGAGUGGCGAACGGGUGAGUAACACGUGGGUAACCUCCCUCAUAGUGGGGGAUAACAGUCGGACACGACUGCUAAUACCGCAUAGGACAUAGGAUCACAUGAUUCUGUGAGGAACGGUGGCGCCAGCUAUCGCUAAGUGAUGGAUCCGCGGUGCAUUAGCUAGUUGGUAGGGUAAAGGCCUACCAAGGCGAUGAUGCAUAGCCGACCUGAGAGGGUGAUCGGCCACAUUGGGACUGAGACACGGCCCAAACUCCUACGGGAGGCAGCAGUAGGGAAUCUUCCGCAAUGGACGCAAGUCUGACGGAGCAACGCCGCGUGAGUGAAGAAGGUCUUCGGAUCGUAAAGCUCUGUUGUUAGAGAAGAACAGCGCAUAGAGUAACUGUUAUGCGUGUGACGGUACCUAAACAGAAAGCCACGGCUAACUACGUG